rnacentral:rRNA from 1 species
GGGGAAUUUUCCGCAAUGGGCGAAAGCUUGACGGAGCAACGCCGCGUGAGUGAUGAAGGCCUUCGGGUCGUAAAGCUCUGUCCUAAGGGAAGAACACCUCAGUAGAUAAUAUCUGCUGGGAUUGACGGUACCUUUGGAGGAAGCCUCGGCUAAUUACGUGCCAGCAGCCGCGGUAAUACGUAAGAGGCAAGCGUUGCCCGGAAUCACUGGGCGUGAAGGGUGCGCAGGCGGUCUAGUAAGUCAAGAGUGAAAUCCAUCGGCUCAACCGGUGAACUGCUUUUGAAACUACUAGACUUGAGAAUAGGAGAAGAGAGUGGAAUUCCUGGUGUAGUGGUGAAAUACGUAGAUAUCAGGAAGAAUACCAAUGGCGAAAGCAGCUCUCUAGCCUAAUUCUGACGCUGAGGUACGAAAGCUAGGGUAUCAAAUGGGAUUAGAUACCCCAGUAGUC